GUGCAGUAGCCAAAGCAGUUGCCACCACCCUCACUUAUCCUUUGCAGACUGUACAGUCAAUCCUGCGGCUUGCCCUGUUGGAGCGUGCCCUAAAGGACUGUGUUUGCCUGCCUUCACAACAGGUAGACGAGGAGCAGGGUUAUAUAUCAGCUUUCUUUGGGUUAGCCAGCAAACCGUGCAAGGGAAUGACUCUACUGCAGGAAUGGACAUGGAGCAGUAUUCAGCAAUUU